AACGAACGCUGGCGGCAUGCCUAACACAUGCAAGUCGAACGAAGGCUUCGGCCUUAGUGGCGCACGGGUGCGUGACACGUGGGAAUCUGCCCUUUGCUUCGGAACAACAGUUAGAAACGACUGCCAAUACCGAAUAAUGUCGCAAGACCAAAGAUUUAUCGGCAAAGGAUGAGCCCGCGUAGGAUUAGCUAGUUGGUGGGGUAAAGGCUCACCAAGGCGACGAUCCUUAGCGGGUCUGAGAGGGUGAUCAGCCACACUGGGACUGAGACACGGCCCAGACUCCUACGGGAGGCAGCAGUGGGAGAUAUUGGACAAUGGACGAAAGCCUGAUCCAGCAAUGCCGCGUGAGUGAUGAAGGCCUUAGGGUUGUAAAGCUCUUUUACCAGGGAUGAUAAUGACAGUACCUGGAGAAUAAGCUCCGGCUAACUCCGUGCCAGCCGCCGCAGUAAAAC
rnacentral:rRNA from 1 species